rnacentral:rRNA from 1 species
GCCCGGCUAACUCUGUGCCAGCAGCCGCGGUAAUACAGAGGGUGCGAGCGUUAAUCGGAUUUACUGGGCGUAAAGCGUGCGUAGGCGGCUUUUUAAGUCGGAUGUGAAAUCCCCGAGCUUAACUUGGGAAUUGCAUUCGAUACUGGGAAGCUAGAGUAUGGGAGAGGAUGGUAGAAUUCCAGGUGUAGCGGUGAAAUGCGUAGAGAUCUGGAGGAAUACCGAUGGCGAAGGCAGCCAUCUGGCCUAAUACCGACGCUGAGGUACGAAAGCAUGGGGAGCAAACAGGAUUAGAUACCCUGGUAGUCCAUGCCGUAAACGAUGUCUACUAGCCGUUGGGGCCUUUGAGGCUUUAGUGGCGCAGCUAACGCGAUAAGUAGACCGCCUGGGGAGUACGGUCGCAAGACUAAAACUCAAAUGAAUUGACGGGGGCCCGCACAAGCGGUGGAGCAUGUGGUUGAAUUCGAUGCAACGCGAAGAACCUUACCUGGUCUUGACAUACUAGAAACUUU